UUGAUAAUAGGUUAGGUAAAUGUUCCAUGAUAAUGGGUUAGGUAAAUGUUUCAUGAUAAUGGGUUAGGUAAAUGUUUCAUGAUAAGAAUUUCAUAUCUUUUGUAUUAAAGAAUUAAAUGGAUGAAAUAUGAAGUUUUAUUAAAAGAAAAAGGGGUGAAAAGAACAAAGUUAUGUCCAUCUUUGUUCAUCAUAGCUGAAAGUUAGAGAAGAGAAAGGAGAGGAGAAAGCUCUUGAGUAUUCGGUCAUUAGGAGGAGGAAAAUUGAAGGAAAUCCCCAACCAUAGUGGGCUUGGAGCUGUGAGGGAAUUCGGAGUGGCCACCCGUUCUGAAAGUUUGAUUUUCUUCUGGUGAACUGGACAUCCUUUUAUUUACGUUUGAAGUUUUUGGGCUUUUAAAUGUAAUAAGGCCGCUUAAUUAUUUUUGAUGGUUUUAAUAUGUAUUACUAAGAUAGGUAAUACUUAUUUUAACUGUUGAAAUUGGAUAGUUUUAGGGCGCGUUUUCAAAAACA